rnacentral:rRNA from 1 species
UACGGAGGGUGCAAACGUUGCUCGGAAUCAUUGGGCGUAAAGCGCACGUAGGCGGUUUGUUAAGUCAGAGGUGAAAUCCCGGAGCUCAACUCCGGAACUGCCUUUGAUACUGGCAAGCUAGAGUCCGGAAGAGGUAAGUGGAACUCCUAGUGUAGAGGUGGAAUUCGUAGAUAUUAGGAAGAACACCAGUGGCGAAGGCGGCUCACUGGGUCAUUACUGACGCUGAGGCACGAAAGCGUGGGGAGCAAACAGG